GAUGAAGAACGCAGCGAAAUGCGAUAAGUAGUGUGAAUUGCAGAAUUCAGUGAAUCAUCGAAUCUUUGAACGCACAUUGCGCCUCCUGGUAUUCCGGGAGGCAUGCCUGUUCGAGCGUCAUUAAAAUCACUCAAGCUUAGGUUUACCUAUUGCUUGGUCUUGGAGAUGGAAGCCAAUUUAUUGGAAUCCUCUUCGAAAUUCAAUGGCGAAGACCCUUGCUCUCCCAAGUGUAGUAAUAACUUAUGUCACUGAAGGAAGCGAGAAAUCUUCUGCCGUAACCCCCAUAUUUUCUAUGAUUGACCUCGGAUCAGGUAGGGAUACCCGCUGAACUUAAGCAUAUCAAUAAGCGGGA
rnacentral:misc_RNA from 1 species